rnacentral:rRNA from 1 species
UACGUAGGGUGCGAGCGUUAAUCGGAAUUACUGGGCGUAAAGCGUGCGCAGGCGGUUUUGUAAGCCAGAUGUGAAAGCCCCGGGCUCAACCUGGGAACUGCAUUUGGGACUGCAAGGCUUGAGUACGGCAGAGGGGGGUAGAAUUCCUGGUGUAGCAGUGAAAUGCGUAGAUAUCAGGAGGAAUACCGAUGGCGAAGGCAGCCCCCUGGGUCGGUACUGACGCUCAAGCACGAAAGCGUGGGGAGCAAACAGGAUUAGAUACCCUGGUAGUCCACGCCCUAAACGAUUGCAACUAGUUGUUGGGGGCCCUUACCGGCCUUAGUAACGCAGCUAACGCGUGAAGUUGACCGCCUGGGGAGUACGGUCGCAAGAUUA